rnacentral:rRNA from 1 species
GACGAACGCUGGCGGCGUGCUUAACACAUGCAAGUCGAACGCUGAAGCUCAGCUUUUGUUGGGUGGAUGAGUGGCGAGCGGGUGAGUAACACGUGAGUAACCUGCCCCCUUCUUUGGGAUAGCGCCCGGAAACGGGUGCUAAUACUGGAUAUUCACUGGUCUUCGCAUGGGGGUUGGUGGAAAGGGUUUUUCUGGUGGGGGAUGGGCUCGCGGCCUAUCAGCUUGUUGGUGGGGUGAUGGCCUACCAAGGCUUUGACGGGUAGCCGGCCUGAGAGGGUGACCGGUCACAUUGGGACUGAGAUACGGCCCAGACUCCUACGGGAGGCAGCAGUGGGGAAUAUUGCACAAUGGGCGCAAGCCUGAUGCAGCGACGCCGCGUGAGGGAUGGAGGCCUUCGGGUUGUGAACCUCUUUCGCUCAUGGUCAAGCCGCAACAAUGGUUGUGGUGAGGGUAGUGGGUAAAGAAGCGCCGGCUAACUACGUG